UACGGGGGGAGCAAGCGUUGUUCGGAUUUACUGGGCGUAAAGGGCGCGUAGGCGGCGCAACAAGUCACUUGUGAAAUCUCCGGGCUUAACCCGGAAAGGUCAACUGAUACUGUGCGACUAGAGUGCGGAAGGGGCAACUGGAAUUCUCGGUGUAGCGGUGAAAUGCGUAGAUAUGCGGAGGAACACCGAUGGCGAAGGCAAUCCCCUGGGCCUGCACUGACGCUCAUGCACGAAAGCGUGGGGAGCAAACAGG
rnacentral:rRNA from 1 species